GACGAACGCUGGCGGCGUGCUUAACACAUGCAAGUCGAACGGAAAGGCCCUGCUUUUGUGGGGUGCUCGAGUGGCGAACGGGUGAGUAACACGUGAGUAACCUGCCCUUGACUUUGGGAUAACUUCAGGAAACUGGGGCUAAUACCGGAUAGGAGCUCCUGCUGCAUGGUGGGGGUUGGAAAGUUUCGGCGGUUGGGGAUGGACUCGCGGCUUAUCAGCUUGUUGGUGGGGUAGUGGCUUACCAAGGCUUUGACGGGUAGCCGGCCUGAGAGGGUGACCGGCCACAUUGGGACUGAGAUACGGCCCAGACUCCUACGGGAGGCAGCAGUGGGGAAUAUUGCACAAGGGGCGGAAGCCUGAUGCAGCAACGCCGCGUGCGGGAUGACGGCCUGCGGGUUGUAAACCGCUUUCGCCUGUGACGAAGCGUGAGUGACGGUAAUGGGUAAAGAAGCACCGGCUAACUACGUG
rnacentral:rRNA from 1 species